rnacentral:rRNA from 1 species
CCUACGGGUGGCAGCAGUGAGGAAUAUUGGUCAAUGGACGAGAGUCUGAACCAGCCAAGUAGCGUGAAGGAUGACUGCCCUAUGGGUUGUAAACUUCUUUUAUAUGGGAAUAAAACGUUCCACGUGUGGGAUUUGGUAUGUACCAGAUGAAUAAGGAUCGGCUAACUCCGUGCCAGCAGCCGCGGUAAUACGGAGGAUCCGAGCGUUUUCCGGAUUUAUUGGGUUUAAAGGGAGCGUAGGUGGGUUGUUAAGUCAGUUGUGAAAGUGUGCGGCUCAACCGUAAAAUUGCAGUUGAAACUGGCAGUCUGGAGUACGGUAGAGGUGGGCGGAAUUCGUGGUGUAGCGGUGAAAUGCUUAGAUAUCACGAAGAACUCCGAUUGCGAAGGCAGCUCACUGGACUGCAACUGACAUUGAGGCUCGAAAGUGUGGGUAUCAAACAGGAUUAGAUACCCCAGUAGUC